CCUCCCUGGCACCGCCUGUGCACCCCUGACAUCGCCUGCGCCUUCUCUGCGUGCCGGCGCCUCCCUGGGUUUUCGGCCACAGCGAAGGAGUGUGUGGCUGCAGCCGCGCUCCCAGCCGGCGGGCGGCCACACCUCCGCCCCUAAGUGCAUGUCUCCGGUAAGGCAUUUAGCUAGAAGGGGCUUCAGUUCCCCACUUCAAGCCACCACUUUCAAAUCCCUCGAAAAAUCAACCACAGCAACCACUU